GUUAAAUCUAGCAAACAACCUGACAGACUGUUCAGUCUUUAAUAAUGUGAGAAUAAACAGAAUAAAUUAAAAGCACACCAUAUUCUUCUCAGCUUCCUCAGGGGCUUUGUCCAAACAGCUUGAACAACUGCAAAAUAAUAUUCAGGAACCAUGAUAGUGUUUGGUACAUAGAGGACACUGGAAAUGGUUUUCUUAACUGAACAAGUGACUAGAAUAAAGGAAUUAAUGAACGACAUCAGAGCUGAAAUCCCAAACCAUAAAUCAUAAAAGGAUCAGACAGCAAAGGUGGUGAGGAUAAGAUGAGUUUAAUAAUACAUGGAAAGCCCUUAUCAGCACCUGGCAUAAAAUAAUCACUGUGGAUGGAUCUCACUUUGUUUCACACUCAACUCAAAUUCCUGGCCUCAAGCAAUCCUCCUACAUCAGCCUCCCAAAGCACUGAGACUACUGUCCCCUUAUUCCUUUUGUUGAUAUUCCCAAACCUAGCCCUGCAUUUGGGUCAUGUAGGAAGGAGUACAGUGGAAUAGAUGGAAUGGGCUUUAUGGACUGGACUGAAUUUUUCAAAAACAGUUAGAUCUCGGGACAUGACUUAAGAUAACUAGCAAAAAUUUAGUUUGAUGGUAUAAGUAAAAAUUUAUCUACUUUCUACCAAAAUUAUCAAAACCGAUUCUUCCAAGAUUGAAUUUCUCAACAUUACUUCAAAAGUAUAGGUAUUGUUUUGUUCAAUAUCUUAGCUAGAGUUAGCCAAACCACCCCCUCACCCCAGGAUUUCUAAUGGCUUCUUUCAAAGUAUGUCUGCAGUUCAUGUUAUUUUUCCUACUAAACAUAACAAAAAAAAAAAAAACUUGAAACUAGAACAAAGAAUACCUGAAGAGACUUAGAAUGUAAUGAUGUUAUAACACCUUAGCUGUAAGUACACACACAAACAUUACCACCAAUGAAAAUGGUGAUUCAAAAUCAAAUCACUUUAUGCAUAGCUGUAAGGCCUGUUGAAAAUUUCUAGAAAACCAGAUAUUUAUUUCAUUGUAUUUGCAUUUACACUGCAUUGUAUUUGGAAAUACAGUAUUUGGUUAACCUUAUUUUCCUGAUGACUGCAACAGAGUGAAAAUAAGAGACUGGGACAUGGGCAUCAUAGAGUCUCCCAUUCUUUUGUUUGUUUGUUUGUUUUUUUUUUUUUUUUUGAGACAGAGUCUCUCUCUGUUGCCCAGGCUGGAGUGCAGUGGUGUGAUCUCGGCUCACUGCAAGUUCUGCCCCCAGGUUCACGCCAUCCUCCUGCCUCGGCCUCCUGAGUAGCUGGGACUACAGGCGCCUGCCACUGUGCCUGGCUAAUUUUUCGUAUUUUUAGUAGAUACGGGGUUUCACUGUGGUCUCGAUCUCCUGACCUCGUGAUCCGCCCACCUCAGCCUCCCAAAGUGCUUGGAUUACAGGCCUGAGCUACCACGCCCAGCCAGAAUUUCCCAUUCUUAAGAAAUCAUAAUAGUACUUAGGAAUGGCUAUAUUAUUAGAUUUCUAUUUAGAAUGAAAAAAAGCAUAUAUUUUUUGAGAAAUAGGCACUAUUUUUAUUAGAGCAGCUCUAUCUCAUUGUGUUAGUUUUUUUUAUCCUAAACUUCAGGCUGUUUUUUUGGAGGGAUCUAGCCACCACUGUUAUCUUUUAACUAGCAAAACUUUUGACUUUUGCAUUUACUAUAAAGAGAAGUUUACAAUAGGAGAACAGGAUUUUCAAAAAAAAAAAAGGAUCAAAUUAUGUUUAGUAAUACACUCCUUCCCAUUUACAUGCUUUUUGUUGACUUUGCAGAAUUACAAGUAGUGCUUCUAGGUCAAGUGAAGUUUCACAUGCAAGGUUG
rnacentral:lncRNA from 1 species